rnacentral:rRNA from 1 species
AUUGAACGUUGGCGGCACGCCUAAUACAUGCAAGUCGAACGAGAAAGCACUUCGGUGUGAGUACAGUGGCGGACGGGUGAGUAACGCGUAGGAAUCUACCUAGUAGUGGGGGACAACUCGAGGAAACUCGAGCUAAUACCGCAUACGCUCUUAGGAGGAAAGUGGGGGAUCUUCGGACCUCACGCUAUUAGAGGAGCCUGCGUUAGAUUAGCUUGUUGGUGAGGUAAAGGCUCACCAAGGCGACGAUCUAUAGCUGGUCUGAGAGGACGAUCAGCCACACUGGAACUGAGACACGGUCCAGACUCCUACGGGAGGCAGCAGUAGGGAAUCUUGGGCAAUGGGCGAAAGCCUGACCCAGCGAUGCCGCGUGUGCGAAGAAGGCCUUAGGGUUGUAAAGCACUUUCAGUCGUGAAGAAAAGCUACGAUUUAAUAUGUCGUGGUCUUGACGUUAGCGACAGAAGAAGUACCGGCUAACUCCGUGCCAGCAGCCGCGGUAAUACGGAGGGUACGAACGUUAAUCGGAAUUACUGGGCGUAAAGCGCGCGUAGGCGGUUUGAUAAGUGGGAUGUGAAAGCCCCGGGCUCAACCUGGGAACUGCAUUCCAAACUGUCAAACUAGAGUGUGGUAGAGGGCGGUAGAAUUUCCUGUGUAGCGGUGAAAUGCGUAGAUAUAGGAAGGAAUACCGAUGGCGAAGGCAAGCCGCCU